CUGUCCUGUGCCCGCUGCUGGUCGGCACUGGGGCUGCUGCGGCUUCCUCUUCUCUGUCCUGUGCCCGCUGCUGGUCGGCGCUGGGGCUGCAGCCGCUUCCUCUUCUCUGUCCUGUGCCCCCUGCUGGUCGGCGCUGGAGCUGCUGCGGCUUCCUCUUCUCUGUCCUGUGCCCCCUGCUGGUCGGCGCUGGGGCUGCUGCGGCUUCCUCUUCUCUGUCCUGUGCCCCCUGCUGGUCGGCGCUGGGGCUGCUGCCGCUUCCUCUUCUCUGUCCUGUGCCCCCUGCUGGUCGGCGCUGGGGCUGCUGCCGCUUCCUCUUCUCUGUCCUGUGCCCCCUGCUGGUUGGCACUGGGGCUGCUGC
rnacentral:lncRNA from 1 species